UUUGUAUUACGUGCGGAAAUUGUUACCAUUUUUGAGCCGAAAAUGGUAACAAUUUCGCACGAAUACAAA
rnacentral:miRNA from 1 species